rnacentral:rRNA from 1 species
UAGGGAAUAUUGCACAAUGGAGGAAACUCUGAUGCAGCGACGCCGCGUGAGUGAUGAAGGCCUUCGGGUUGUAAAGCUCUGUUCUCAGGGAACAAAAAAAUGAGUGUACCUGAGAAGAAAGGACCGGCUAACUUCGUGCCAGCAGCCGCGGUAAUACGAGGGGUCCUAGCGUUGUUCGGAAUUAUUGGGCGUAAAGCGGAUGUAGGUGGCAUUGUAAGUCGGGAGUGAAAGCCCUGGGCUCAACCCAGGAAGUGCUCUCGAUACUGCUUUGCUUGAGUAUGGGAGAGGGUAGUAGAAUUCCUGGUGUAGUGGUGAAAUACGUAGAUAUCAGGAGGAACACCGGUGGCGAAGGCGGCUACCUGGCCCAAUACUGACACUCAGAUCCGAAAGCGUGGGGAUC